UACGGAGGGUGCAAGCGUUGUCCGGAUUUAUUGGGUUUAAAGGGUGCGUAGGCGGCCCGUUAAGUCAGCGGUGAAAGCCCGGGGCUCAACCCCGGAACUGCCGUUGAUACUGGCGGGCUUGAGUUCGGUGAAGGCGGGCGGAACUGGCGGUGUAGCGGUGAAAUGCUUAGAUACCGCCAAGAACCCCGAUUGCGUAGGCAGCUCGCUGUGCCGAAACUGACGCUGAGGCACGAAAGCGUGGGGAGCGAACAGG
rnacentral:rRNA from 1 species